GAUCAUUACUGAGUUUACGCUCUACAACCCUUUGUGAACAUACCUACAACUGUUGCUUCGGCGGGUAGGGUCUCCGCGACCCUCCCGGCCUCCCGCCUCCGGGCGGGUCGGCGCCCGCCGGAGGAUAACCAAACUCUGAUUUAACGACGUUUCUUCUGAGUGGUACAAGCAAAUAAUCAAAACUUUUAACAACGGAUCUCUUGGUUCUGGCAUCGAUGAAGAACGCAGCGAAAUGCGAUAAGUAAUGUGAAUUGCAGAAUUCAGUGAAUCAUCGAAUCUUUGAACGCACAUUGCGCCCGCCAGCAUUCUGGCGGGCAUGCCUGUUCGAGCGUCAUUUCAACCCUCAAGCUCUGCUUGGUGUUGGGGCCCUACAGCCGAUGUAGGCCCUCAAAGGUAGUGGCGGACCCUCCCGGAGCCUCCUUUGCGUAGUAACUUUACGUCUCGCACUGGGAUCCGGAGGGACUCUUGCCGUAAAACCCCCCAAUUUUCCAAAGGUUGACCUCGGAUCAGGUAGGAAUACCCGCUGAACUUAAGCAUAUCAAUAAGCGGAGGA
rnacentral:rRNA from 1 species